rnacentral:rRNA from 1 species
UACGGAGGUGCAAGCGUUAUCCGGAAUGAUUGGGCGUAAAGCGUCCGCAGGUGGCAAUGUAAGUCUGCUGUCAAAGCGUCUGGCUCAACCAGAUAAAGGCAGUGGAAACUACAUAGCUAGAGUAAGGUAGGGGUAGAGGGAAUUCCUGGUGUAGCGGUGAAAUGCGUAGAGAUCAGGAAGAACACCGGUGGCGAAAGCGCUCUGCUGGACCUUAACUGACACUGAGGGACGAAAGCUAGGGGAGCGAAUGGG